rnacentral:lncRNA from 1 species
UUUCCUCCAAAAACACCAAAAUUUAGAGGUUCAAUUAACAUCACCGGAGCACUGGCACUGUGCAUGUGCCUCACCAUCUGAUCGCCCAUGACCUCAAGCACCUCCUCAUCGAAUUCAUGGUAUUUGGUUGUCAGAGUUGUCGGCAAUCCUCGGUCAAAGAUUUGACUGUCAGUAUUCACGGUAGUUUAAUAUUUUCAACUUUUCUCCCAAAAUAUUUAGAAUUUUGGAAAACUAAAAAUAUUACUUUG